UACGUAGGGGGCAAGCGUUGUCCGGAAUCAUUGGGCGUAAAGAGCGUGUAGGCGGCCCGAUAAGUCCGCUGUGAAAGUCCAGGGCUCAACCCUGGAAUGCCGGUGGAUACUGUCGGGCUCGAAUCCGGAAGAGGUGAGUGGAAUUCCUGGUGUAGCGGUGAAUGCGCAGAUAUCAGGAGGAACACCAAUGGCGAAGGCAGCUCACUGGGACGGUAUUGACGCUGAGACGCGAAAGCGUGGGGAGCAAACAGG
rnacentral:rRNA from 1 species